rnacentral:rRNA from 1 species
AUACGUAGGGUGCGAGCGUUGUCCGGAAUUACUGGGCGUAAAGAGCUCGUAGGUGGUUUGUCGCGUCGUCUGUGAAAUUCCGGGGCUUAACUCCGGGCGUACAGGCGAUACGGGCAUAACUUGAGUACUGUAGGGGAGACUGGAAUUCCUGGUGUAGCGGUGAAAUGCGCAGAUAUCAGGAGGAACACCGGUGGCGAAGGCGGGUCUCUGGGCAGUAACUGACGCUGAGGAGCGAAAGCAUGGGUAGCGAACAGGAUUAGAUACCCUGGUAGUCCAUGCCGUAAACGGUGGGCGCUAGGUGUAGGGGUCUUCCACGACUUCUGUGCCGUAGCUAACGCAUUAAGCGCCCCGCCUGGGGAGUACGGCCGCAAGGCUAAAACUCAAAGGAAUUGACGGGG